UGAAGUGGGCGCAUGUGCAAGAAUGGAGGAGAAUGUUGACAGGAAGGUCACUUGGAGAUAAAACCAGCAGGUGCCAGAGGGAGACAGCCACGAACCCGGCCAAAGAUGAUCGCCAAGGCCAAAAGACGAAAAGGAAAAUAACAGCCCCCACACACAUCGAAUCUCCCAUAAUCAGCACCCAACCCCACGAAACCAGCUCUCACCGAGCCAGCACCCACUCCCAUGGAAUCAAACUCUCCUGGGAACUUGCCCUACCCCAAAGACU